AAGGAUAACACACUCUGAAUAUGUUUCAAGCUACCGAAGCCCCUUGCAAACACCUAGUGCAGACAGGGCAUCUAUCAAGAUUAUUAUAACAGAAUCCUCAGUGGAAAAAAUGCAAGGGUUCCUUUAAGGGGAAAACCACCAUUGGGGCUGCUGUUUGUUCCUUGAGUAGAAUAUACUUUGCAAGAAGGAAUCUUUUAGCCUCUUUUUUUGUGUCAUUUGUCAGGUUGCUAUCAGUCGAUUAUCAUCUUAGCUGGCUAGGUUCAUCAUUUCCCCAAAUAGGAAAAGAAGGUAUUUUCAUACCAAAUCAGUAUUCUCCAGAAAGGAGAACACAUUCUAGUGUGUUUCAAGCUGCUCAAAACCCUGGCAAAGACCUAAUGCAGAAAGAGCAUUUUGCAGGGAAAUGGAUCAAUCUCCCUAGUUAUGACAGACAAUUUGGUGGGUAAAUGGCAAGGGUGCUUUCUGGAGCAAACUGCCAUUGGGCUAGUGUUUGUUCACUGAGUAGAAUAUACUUUGCAAAUAGGAAGCUUCCAGCCUCUUGCAUUUUGUCAUUUGUGAGAUUGCCCUCAGGCGAUUAUUGCCAUAGGUGGCUAUGUGCAGAUUUUUGCCUGCUUGUGAAAAGAAGGCACUUUCAUACCAAUUCAUGCUUCUCCAGAAAAUAGAACAUGUCUGGGGGUAUUUAAAUCUACUGAACCCCUUGCACACACCUACUGCACACAGAAUUUGGCAGUGGAGCACAUCAAUAUACCUAGUUGUAACAGAGGUCUAGGUUGGAAAAAGGCAAGGGUUUCUUUCUGGAGCAAACCACCAUUGGAGCUGGUGUUCAUUCAGUGAUUAAAAUAUACUUUGCAAGUGAGAAGAUUCCAGCCUCGUGUUUUGUGUUAUUUGUGAGAUUACCAUCAGGAAAUUAUUGCCCUAGCUUGCUUUUUUUUGCUUUACCCCUCUUGCGAAAAGAAGGUAUUUUCAUACCAAAUCAGGCUUCUCAGAAUGGAGAAUUCAAUCUGAGUGUGUUUCAAGCUGCUGAAGUCCCUUGCAAACACCUACUGUAGACAGCAUUUGGCAAGUGAGCAGAACUAUGCCCUAGUCAUGACAGAGGUCUAGGUAGGAAAAAGCCAAGCGUUGCUUUCCGAAGCAAAGCACCAUUUGGGCUGGUGUUUGUUCACUGAGUAGAAUACACUUUGCAAGUAUAAAGCUUCCAGCCUCUUGUUUUGUAUUUUGUGAGACUGGCCUCAGGCAAUUAUCCCCCAGCUUGUUAUGUGCAGCAUUCCCCCGCCUAUGAAUAGAAGGCAUUUUCAUAUGUGGACAUGGACUCCUAGACCCACUCUGUAGGUGUUGACUAGUUUUCUGCUUGGACUUGAUUUCUAAGACUUGGUUCAUGGGGGUCGUUCAGUUGUCCAUGUGGACUUGCUCUCCCAAAACUGACUUUGUAGGUUCAACCAGUUAUCCAUGUGGUCAUGGUUCCUGGACCCAGUCCUCAUGGGUUGACCAGUUGUCCAGACAAGCUUGGUCUCCUGGACCCAGUUGAUGGGGUUGUCCAGUUGUCUGAGCAUUUUUGACCUCCUGGAUCCAGUCCACAUGGGUCAAACAGUUGGCCACAGGACCUGGUCUCUCAGACACGAUUUGCAAGGGUUGAUGAGUUGUCUGCUGUGACAUUGGCUCCAGUACCCUGUCUGCGGGGUCUACCAUUUGUCUGCCUGGUCUUGGUCUCCCAGACCCGGACCACAUAGGUCGACCAGUCUUCCACAUGGAUUUGGUCUCUCAGAUCCUCUCUGCCAGGGUUGAACAGCUGUCUGCAUGGACUUGGUCUCCUUGACCCAGUCUGCACAGGUCGACCAGUUAUUAGUGUGGAAUUUUUCUUCCUGAACUGGUCUGCCAGGGUUGACCAGUUGCCCAUGCAGACUUGGUCUCCAGGACCCGUUCCACACAGGUUGACCAAUUCUGCCCACGGAAUUGGUUUCUAGGACCUGGUCUGCCAGGGUUGCCCAGUUGUCCUUGCGGUUUUGGUCUCUCAGACCUGGUCCAAGGGUGUUGACCAGUUGUCCAUGUGGUCUUGUUCUCCCAGACCCAGUCUGCAUGGGUGAACCAGUUUUCAGCCCAUUCUUGGUCUCCUGGACAUGGUCUGCCUGGGUUGAUCAUUUCUCUGAGUGGAAUUGGUUUCUUGGACCUGCUCCACCAGGGUCGAAGAGUGGUCUCUGCAGACUUGGUCUCCCAGAACUGGUCUUCCAUGGUCAACAUGUUGACCAUGCAAACUUAGCCUCCUAGACCCAUUCCAAGCAGGUUGACUAGUUUAUGGUGCGGAAUUCUCUCUUGGCCAGGUCCACCAGGGUUGACCAUAUGUUUGCAGGGACUUGGUCUCCCAGAACCGUUUCACACAGAUUGACCAGUUUUCCACACAGAAUUAGUCUAUUGGACCUGUUCCACCAAGUUCAACCAGUUGUCUGCACAGACUUGGUCUCCCGGUCCUGGUAUCCUGGGAUUGACCAGAUCUCUGUGUGUUUUUGGUCUCCCCGACCGGGUCCGUGUGGGUCGACCUGGUAUCCACAUUUUUUUGUUCCUGGAUCCUAUCUGCAGGGAUUGAUCUGUUGUCCACACGGAUUUCAUCUCCUGGGACCUGAUCCAAGGGGGUCGAACAUUUAUCCACGUGGACUUGGUCUCCUGGACAUGAUCCACUUGUAUAGACCAGUUGUAUGUGCAGACUUGGUAUUUUGGACCUGGUCUGCUGGGGUCAAUGAGCUGUCUCUGAAAUUUGGUCUCCCAGGCCCAUUCUGAGUGGGUUGAACAGUUGUCUGCACGGUCUUGUUCUCCCAGAUCUGGUCUGUGUGGGUCAACCAUUUGCCCGAGCAUUCUUGGUCUCCUAGACCCAGUCCAUGUGGGUUGACAGUUCUCCAUGUGGAACUGAUCUUUCAGACCUACUCUACUGGGGACAAACAGUUGUUCAUGCGGAUACAGUCUCCCAGACCUGGUCUGCAUGGGUAAACCAUUUGUCGACACGGAAUGGGUCUCCCUGAACCUGUCCAUGGAGGUCGACCAGUUGUCCUCAUGGUAUCCUGGACCUGGUCCAGGUGAGUCAACAAGUUGUUCAUGCAUACUUGGUUUCUUGGACCAGUUCUGCCAAGGUUGUCCAGUUUUCUGCACACAUUGAUUUCCCUGGAACCAUUCUGCCAGGGUCGACCAGUUGUCCAUGCGGUCUUGGUUUCCCAGACCUGGUGUGCACAGGUGGACCAGUUGUCCACGCAGAUCUGUUAACCUGGACCUGGUCCACCGGGUUCAACAAGUGUCUGCAAGGACUUGGUCUCCUGGACCUAGUGCAUGCAGGUUGGCCAGUUGUCCACAGGGACUUGAUCUCCCAGACCCAGUCUGCUUGGGCUGACCAGUUGUCCAUGCCAAUUUGGUAUCCUGGACCUGGUCUGUGCAGGUUGACCAAUUGUCCACCAUGCUUGGUUUUCCAGACCUCUUCUGUUGGGGUUGACCCCUUGUCCACGUGGUUUUGGUCUCUUGGACUCAGUCUGCUUGUGUUGACCAGUUGUCCUCAUGGACUUGGUAUCUCAGAUCCAGGCCUCACAGUUCAACCAGUUGUCCAGUUGGACUUGGCCUCACAGACCUGGUCCAAGCAGGCCGACCAGUUGUCCAUGUGGACUUGGUCUCCCAGACCCAGUGCAUGGGGGUUGACAAGUUGCUCACAUGGAAUUGGUCUCUUGGACCUGGUCCUCUGGAGUUGACCGGUUGUCCAUAUGGAUGUGGUCUCCCACACUGGCUCCACGUGGGUCAACCAUAUAUCUGUGUGGACAUGUUCCCUAGGAACAUGUCUGCAGAGUUUGACCAGUUGUGCAUAUGGUCUUGGUUUCCUGGACUUGGUCCUCAUGAUUGGACCAGUUGUAUGGUCAGACUUGGUCUCCCAGACCCAUUGUGCAUGGGUUGACAGUUUUCCACACAGACUUUUUCUAUUGGACAAGGUGGUGGGGGUCUACCAGUUGUCUGUGAGGACUUGCUCUCCCAGACCUGGUCCGUGCGGGUUGACCAAUUGUCUGCACUGACUUGGCUUCCUGGACCCAUUCUGCUGCGGCUGACAAGUUGGCUGCACAGACUUGGUCUCCCAGACCCAGUCUGCACAGUCAAAAACUGUCCAUGUGAACUUUUUCCCCAGGACCAAGUUCAUGGAGGUUGACCAGUUUGUCCACAUGGUUUUGGUCUCUCAGACCCAGUCUACUGGUGUUGACCAACUGUCCUCGCAGACUUGGUAUACCAGACCCAGUCCGCACAGGUCAAACAGUUGUCUGAGUGGAAUAGGUUUCUCGGAACCAGUCCACGGAGGUCGACCAGUUGUCCUUGUGGUUAUGGUUUCAGUCCUGGUCUGCUUGGGUGGGCCAGUUGUCCACAUGUACUUGGUCUCACGCUACCAGUCUGCAGGGGUACACCAGUUAUCCGCAUGCACUUGAUCUCCCAGACCCUGUCUGCAUGGGUUGACAAGUUGUCCAUUUGCACUUAGUUUUCUGGACCAGAAGAGCAGGGAUCGACCAGCUGUCUAAACAGAACUUGUCUCUCAAACCCGGUCUGCUGGUGUCAACAAGUUAUCUGCGUGGGUUGAACAGUUAUCCAGGUGGACUUGGUCUUCCAGAAAUAGUCCACUGGGGUUAACCAGUCCUCCACGUGGUCUUGGACUCCUGGACCCACGUGGCAUGGGUCAACCAGAUGUCCAUGUGCACUUUUUCUCCAGCACCCAGUCUGCAGAAGUCGACCAGUUGUCCAUGUGUUAUUGGUCUCUUGGACCUGGUCCACAUGGAUCAACAAGUUGUCCAUGCAGAUUUGGUUUCAUGGACCCAGUCCAUGUGGGUCAACAGUUUUCUUUUCUUUUCUUUUUUUUUUUUUGUCUUUUGCUAUUUCUUGGGCCGCUCCCAUGGCAUAUGGAGGUUCCCAGGCUAGGGGUCGAAUCGGAGCUGUAGCCACUGGCCUACGCCAGAGCCACAGCAACGCGGGAUCCGAGCCGCGUCUGCAACCUACACCACAGCUCACGGCAACGCCGGAUUGUUAACCCACUGAGCAAGGGCAGGGACCGAACCCACAACCUCAUGGUUCCUAAUCGGAUUCGUUAACCACUGCGCCACGACGGGAACUCCAGGGUCAACAGUUUUCUGCAUGGACUUUUUCUCCUGAACCCAUUCUACAUUGGUCUACCAGUUAUCCAUGUGUACGUGGUCUCCAGGACCCAGUCUUCGGGGUCAACCAGUUGUCCAUGCACACUUGGUUUCCAGGACCCAUUCUGCCAGCUUCAACCAGUGGUCUACACAGACUUUUUCUCCAGGAUCCAUGCUGCAGAGGUUGACCAGUUGUCCAGACAGAUGUUUUCUCCAGCACCUGUCCUGCAGUGGUUGACCAGAUAUCCAUGCAGAGUUUUUCCCCAGGAACUGGUCCAUGGGGAUUGACCAGCUGUCUGCACUGUAUAUUGGUCUUUUGGACCUUGUCCGAGCGGGUCGACCAGUUGCUCGUGCCCUAUUGGUCUCUCGGACCUGGUCUAUACAGGAAGAUUUAUUGUUAGCAUGGGCUUUUUCUCCAGGCCCGGGUCCAGGAAUUUUGAACAGUUGCUCGUGCAGAAUUGGUCUCUCAUAUCCAGUGGGUUAGUGAUGACUAAUUGUCCUCACAGAUUUGAUAUCCUGAAUCCAUUCCUCAUGGUUCAACCAGUUGUCAGAUUUGGUCUCACGGGCCCGGCCCAUGCAGGUCAACCAGUUGUUAGCACCGAAUUAGUUUCCUGGACCCAGUGUACAUGGGUCCACUAUUUUCUGUGGGGAUUUUUUCUUCCAGACAAAGUAGGUGGGGGGUCUGUUGUCCACGUGGACUUGCUUUCCCAGGCCCAUACCAUGCAUGUCAACCAUAAUCUAUACCAAUUUUGUCUCCUGGACCCAGUCCACACGGUUUCACCCUUAUCCAAAUUCACUACGUUUCUAGGACCCAUUCCACCACGGUCGACCAGAUGUCCAUGAGGACUUGGUCUCCUGGACCUAGUCCAUGGGGGGUUGACAAGUUGCUAGCAUGGAACUGGUCUCUUGGACCUGGUCCUCCAGGGUUGACCACCUGUCCUAGACCUGCUCUGCAUGGAUCCACCAGAUAUCUGUGUGUACUUUUUCCCUAGGAACAUGUCCAUAAAUGUCAACCAGUUGUCCUUGUGGACUUGGUAUCCCAGACAUGGUCCUCAUGGCUCAAUGAGUUGUCUGGUUGGACUUGGUCUCCUGAACCUAUUAAGCAUGGGUCAACUGUUUUCCACUUGGACUUUUUCUACCAGACCAGGUCAGCAGGGGUCUACCAGUUGUCCAGAAGGAUAUGCUCUCCCAGACCCCAUCUGGGCAGGUUGAGCAGUUGUGUGUGCCAACUUGUCUUCCCAGACCCAUUCUGCUGGGGUCAACAAGUUAGCCAGGUGGACUUGGUCUCCUGGACCUAGUCUACCUGGGUCAACAAGUUGUUCAUGUGGACUUUUUUUCCAAGACCUGGUCCAUGGAGAUCAACAAGUUGUCUGCAUGGUCUUGGUCUCGCAGACCUAGUCCUCGGUGGUUGACAUUUUUUCGUGAGGUCUUGGUCUCCCAGACUUUGUCUGCAUGGGCUGACAAGUUGUCUGUGUGGAUUUUUUUCCCAGGACCUGGUCUGUAGAGGUCAACCAGUUGCCCACGUGGUUUUGGUCUCUUAGACCUGGUCUGCCAAUGUUGACCAGUUAUUCUGAGCGGGUUCUCACAGUUUGACCACUUGUCUGGCCAGACUUGGUUCUUGGACCGAGUCCACACAGGUUGAUCAGUUGUCUGCUCCAAAUUGUUCUCCCAGAUCUACUGUACAUGGGUCGACUAUUUUCCACACGGCCUUUUUCUCCCGUACCAGGUUGGCAGUGCGGAGGAGCUCUCCCAGACCUGGUCCAUGCAGGUUGAUGUUGACUGGUUAUCCAUGCCGACUUGGCCUCCUAGACAUGGUCUGCCUGGGUUUACCAGUUGUCUACACACACUUGGUUUCCCAGACCUGUUCCACUGGGGUUGACUAGUUAGCUGCACAGACUUGGCCUCCCAGACUCCGUCUGUGGGGGUCGACAAAUUGCUCACGCUGAAUUGGUCUCUCAGACCUGGUCCUCUGGGGUCAACCAGUUAUCUGGGUGGACGUGAUAUCCCAGACCUGCUCCAUACCUGUUGACCAGAUAUAUCUGUGCAGACUUUUUCCCCAGCACCAGGUCCAUGGAGGUCAACCAGUUGUCCACGCAGGCUUGGUUUCCUGGACCAGUUGUCCAGUCUGUCCAGUUCUCAUAGACCUUGUCUCUGUGGGUUGACCUGUUAUCUGAACCAAAUUGUCCCAGACCCAGUAUGCAUGAGUCAACUGUUUUCCACAGGGACUUCUUCUCCUGGACAAGGUAGGUGGGGGUUGUCCAUGUGGCCUUGUUCUUGCAGACCCAGUCCACGUAGCUUGACCAGUUAUCCGAACCUACUUGGCCCCCAGACCCAGUCCACAUGGGUUGACCAGUUGUCCUCACGGACUCGGUCCCCUGGACCAAGUCUGCAUGGGUUGAAAUGUUGUCUGUGUGUACAUUAUUCAGGACCUGGUCUGUGGAUUGACCAGUUUUCUGCACGGUCUUGGUCACACAGACCUGGUCCUUGGUGGUGGACAUUUGUCCUCACGGUCUUUGUCUUUCUGACCCAGUCUACAUGGGUCGUAAAGUUGUCCAUGUGGACCUUUUCUCCCAGGACCUGAUCCACGGAGGUCAACCAGUUUUCUGUGCAGUUGUGAUCUCUUUGACCCACUCCACCAGUGUCGACCAAUUGUCCUUGUGGACUUGGUCUCCCAGACCUGGUCCAAGCAAGUCAACCAGUUGUAUGUGCCAACUUGGCCCCCCUGGACCUGGUCUGCGUGGGUUGACCAGUUGUCCACACACACUUAGUUUCCCAAACCUGUUCCACUGAGGUCAACCAUUUGGCCACACAGAGUUGGUCUCCCAGACCCAGUGCAUGUGAGUCUACCAGAUGUCUGGCGGACUUGGUCUCCUGGAUCCAGUCCAUGGAGGUUGAUAAGUUGAUCAUGUAGUAUUGGUCUUUUGGACAUGGGCCUCCAGGGUUCACCAGUUGUCUGGUCUGUGUGAGUCAACCAGUUAUCUGUGCUGAUGUGUCCUCCCAGACCCGUUCUGCCAGGGUCCACAAGUUGGCUGCUCUGCACCUGGUCUGCACCAGUCAAUGAGUUGUCCAUGUGGACUUUUUUUCCAGGACCUGAUCCAUGGAGGCUGCCCAGUUGUCUGGGUGGUUUUGGUCUCUCAGACAAGGUCUGCUGGUGUCAACCAAUUGUCCUGGCCAACUUGGUAUCCUGGACCCGUUUCACAUGAUUCCACCGGUUGUCCUGGUAGAUGCUGUCUCCCAGACCUGCUCUGCAUGGGUCGACCAGAUAUCUGUGCAGACAUUUUCCCCAGGACCCUGUCUGUGGAGGCUGACCAGUUGCCCUUGUGGACUUGGUAUCCCAUACCCAGUUCUCGUGUUUUGACCAGUUGUCUGGUCAAACUUGGUCUCCUAUUGGGAGGCAUGUUUCUGCAAUAUUUUCUUAGCCUCUUUGCUUCCAUUUUCUAUGCUGAAAACUCCAUCUUGUCCUGCUUUACUUUACCCCAUAUUCCUACUUGAAAAAUAGUCAUAGUGCUGGCAAAUGACUUAAGCUUAAAAACAGAGACCUAAAGGCAUAAGUUAUUCAUGUGGUCAGCUGAAUGAGGACAUAAUGUGUUGGUCUAGGCACACCAGACCUGCGCAGAUAGGCACGCCAUUUACAUAGCAUGAUAUGUCCUCUUAAGAAUAAGAGGAAGAAUAAGAGGAAGGAGUUCCUAUCGUGGCGCAGUGGUUAACGAAUCCGACUAGGAACCAUGAGGUUGCGGGUUCAAUCCCUGUGAUCCCUGGCCUUGCUCAGUGGGUUAAGGAUCCGGCAUUGCCAUGAGCUGUGGUGUAGGUUGCAGAUGCAGCUUGGAUCCUAUAUUGCUGUGGCUCUGGUGUAGGCCAGUGGCUACAGCUCCAAUUAGACCCCUGGCCUGGGAACCUCCAUAUGCCGCAGGAACCACUCAAGAAAAGGCAAAAAG
rnacentral:lncRNA from 1 species